GGGGCUGUGUGGAGGGGCAAGAGCCUCUGCUUUGCAUGCAGAAGGUCCCGGGUUCAAUCCCUGGCAUUUCCA
rnacentral:tRNA from 1 species